AGUUGCAGGGUAUAGACCCGAAACCCGGUGAUCUAUCCAUGGGCAGGUUGAAGGUUGGGUAACACUAACUGGAGGACCGAACCGACUAAUGUUGAAAAAUUAGCGGAUGACUUGUGGAUGGGGGUGAAAGGCCAAUCAAACCGGGAGAUAGCUGGUUCUCCCCGAAAGCUAUUUAGGUAGCGCCUCGUGAACUCAUCUUCGGGGGUAGAGCACUGUUUCGACUAGGGGGUCAUCCCGACUUACCAACUCGAUGCAAACUGCGAAUACCGAAGAAUGUUAUCACGGGAGACACACGGCGGGUGCUAACGUCCGUCGUGAAGAGGGAAACAACCCAGACCGCCAGCUAAGGUCCCAAAGUCAUGGUUAAGUGGGAAACGAAGUGGGAAGGCUCAGACAGCCAGGAUGUUGGCUUAGAAGCAGCCAUCAUUUAAAGAAAGCGUAAUAGCUCACUGGUCGAGUCGGCCCGCGCGGAAGAUGUAACGGGGCUAAACCAUGCACCGAAGCUGCGGCAGCGA
rnacentral:rRNA from 1 species